rnacentral:misc_RNA from 1 species
UCAUAUAAUAAAACAUGGUAGUGUGUGGGCCUUGUAGUGCCCUGAGCAGAUAUGGUCAGGAAAUACAAGAAACUUUUAAUAGAUGCCAAAGAAAUAUCAAAAGCAAAAACAUAUAAAUUGUUGAAUAAUUCAAUUUACAAGGUCACAAUCAUAAGCAGCGCAAAACAAGCUUUCCAAUAAAUAUGGUAAACAUCAAAAUCUUUAAACAUAUAAAUCUCUGACAUUCAUCAUAGUAAUUUCUAAUGCACAGCAAUUUUAUGGAAGAGGACAAUGCUUUCAAGCAAACGGAAGCUUGUGAACUUCACAAUCACACCAAUUUAAAGGAUUUCACAAUAUAGAAAGGCAAAAGGCCGUUUUAAGACCUUGAGACCCUAAUCAAACAAAAGGGUCAUUUAAGCCCUUGAAUCUUUUAAAUAACCACUUAAGCCCUUAAACUAUUGAAAAUGGCUCAAAAAGUCCCAAACGAUAACACCAUGUAAGUUUAUGUCAAUUAAAGAACUAAAAUAAUGAAAAUUUAAGCCCCCAAAAAUUAAUUCGAUACUCAUUUAAGCCUCAUUGAACAAAUAAAUUUAAUUUUAAAAUUUUAAUAAUUAAGUUUAUAAAUAAAUUAUGUUAGUAAAUAUUAUUAAUAAAUAAAAUAAUUUUAUAUAAUCUACAAAAUAAAUAAAAAAUUAUUAUAAAUAGAUAAAUUUAAAUUUUUUAAAAAAAGUAUAAAAAAAUACUUCAACCAAAUACCGGGAAAAAAAAAUCAGAUUUUCCUUUCUUUUCUCAUCAACCAAAUACCAUACUUUAACCUCACAAUGUACUUAAAAAAAUAUGUAAGAAUAAUAAAAGCCAUAAAAUAUAUAGAAGCCCACAUUUCUUGGCCAAAGUGCAAAUCUGUAGGAUGCUAGCCUACUAAAUGCAGAAGAUAGUUAAAAAACCAAGGCUGUGUGUGUGCUUACGGGGCCCUAAAGAUAGAUUAUUCAUAUAAAAUAAAACAGCAUUUGGUUGAUACUCACAAUCAUUCCUGCAUGAGCACAGA